AGUCACGCGUCUCGGCGGAGGCUUGGGCGCCCUCCUCUCUAGGAACUUCGACAUCUGGCCGGUCCUUCUCGAGUCUCUCCACCUCGCCCUGCCAGCCCUGUUUUAUUCCCGAGCCUGCUCGCGGGCCCCUAAGGCGUCCUCUCUGGCAGCCGUGCGUCCUAGCCUGUGGCGGGUGGCGCCGCGCGUGCCCUCUGCCUCACCUUGCUCACGGCGUCUCUCCGCCCCAGUGCGCCUGUUGGCGCUCGCUCCGCUGCCUGGCUAACACCUGCUGUCCUCCGAAAUCGUCCUUCCGGCAAGCCUUCCCUAACCCAGUGGCAGGGAAGCGCGUUUGCUGGGCUCCCGCGAUGUCCUGGUGAUGCUUAUUAAGCUUCAGUACACUGGAAAGGAAUCUGGUUAAAUACAGUUAACAUCUACAUCCCAGGACCAGUGCAGGACCUGCAGUAUUUCAUGAAUUAAAAAGAAACACAAAGAGAAAAGG
rnacentral:lncRNA from 1 species